UUAAAAGCUUACAAAACCAUUUUUCUAAGCAAAAACCCCUGAAAUUCCUUUCUUUUUCUCCUAUUCUUCACCUUGGCCAACUCUUGGGUUUCACCGGCGCAUGAUACGCCUCCACCACCGUCGUGGUUUCAGCCAGACCCACAAGGAUCUGUCAACCUUCAGAUCGGAGGAGCCAACGUCGACUAAACCGACACCAAAAACAAUAAAUAAACUCCUUUUUUAGAUUCGUCAAGUAGAUUCAAAAUAAAGUAAGAAAAAAGAAUAAGAACAGAGAAAAAAAUGCGAAUCACCUUCGGCUUUGAGGGGUGUCAGACGCGUGGAGGAGAGGGGCAUGCGUGGGGAGGCCAGUGGUGGAAGCGCGUGCUUGUGGGAGGAGCGGCAGCUGAAGAGGAGGCUAGGGUUUGGGUGGCUACUGAAAAAGUUAAGAUAGUGAGCUAAUUUGGGCUUUAGGGUUUUAGGUUAUUGGGUUUAUUUUGUAUUUAUUUAUUUAAUUUAUUGGGCUUAUUGGGCUUGCAACUGGGUAAUGGGUUUUGUAAUUGUUUUAUUUAGUUUUUGAGCCCCGGGCAAAAUUUGGGCCUUACAUACACAUUAUGUAA